AAAGUACUCCCUCUGUCCCAAAAUUCUUGUCUUAGAUUUGUCUAGAUACGGAUGUAUCAAGUCACAUUUUAGUUUUAGAUACAUCCGUAUCUAGACAAAUCUAAGACAAGAAAUUUGGGACAGAGGGAGUAGUUG
rnacentral:pre_miRNA from 1 species